UACGGAGGAUGCAAGCGUUAUCCGGAAUUAUUGGGCGAAAAGGGUCCGCAGGUUGCAGUGUAAGUCUGCUGUCAAGGAAUGAGGCUUAACCUCAUCAAGGCAGUGGAAACUACACAGCUAGAGUACGGUCGGGGUAGAAGGAAUUCCUGGUGUAGCGGUGAAAUGCGUAGAGAUCAGGAAGAACACCGGUGGCGAAAGCGUUCUGCUAGACCUGUACUGACACUGAGGGACGAAAGCUAGGGGAGCGAAUGGG
rnacentral:rRNA from 1 species